ACAACAGUGGCAGUUCCCUACGUCAUUACCUCGGUCAGCAGUGUACUGUAUGGCUGGGGUGAAAGGAAGAACAAAGUCCGCAGAACGCUCAGCCCCUUCAAAGUGAUAGCAUUUAGUUACACUCUCCUUCAGAUGAUGCAGAUCAAACUGAAAUAUAUACCUUUAUAUAUACAGUGGAAACGGUUUUACAGCUUUGCAAAACCAUCACAAGUUCUAAAGAACUUAUCUUAUGGAAGGCAUGAGGAGACUCUAGACUUGUAUUUGCCAGAGACAAGAAAAGGAAAUGAUAACAUUCCUGUGGUUAUUUUUGUAUCUGGGGGAGCCUGGUCCAUGAAAAAUAAAGAAAUGUAUGGACUUCUGUGUUCGGAGAUGGCCAAUAAACUUCAAGUUGUUGUCUGUUGUCCCAACUAUUCUGCUUACCCUAAGGGCUAUGUGGAUGACAUGAUUCAGGAUGUGGUGGAUUGUUUAUGCUGGAUCAAUGAAAAUGUAGGAGACUAUGGUGGAGACAAGGAUCAACUAAUGUUAAUAGGCCAUUCAUCUGGUGCUCACCUUUGUAUCAUGGCAAUCUUGGAGCUACUGCACGACGACAUUUUGAAUGCAGAGGACCUGCCAAUUUCUGAAUCAGUGGCUCCGCAGAUUCACUUCGAGGAGUCUCACUAUAAAAGGGAGGAAUCAAAUGGACAUAAUCUGGAUGGAAGCUCCGGAUCUUCAGGCUCCUUCUGUGUGUUAAAUGAUAAUGGGGAGAAGAAAGACAGCUUGGAAGCCAGCAACACCAGUAGUACGUAUGAAAUGUUAAAGAAGCCUGAAGCAGAUGUUAUGGAAGAAUCUGUUGCUGCAGGUUAUGUGAAACCAAUGAUGGACAGUGACAUUGAAAAAGUAGAGGUAGGGCAGGGUGAAAGUGCUAAACAAAGGGAGCUAAGUGAAAGUAAACCGUCCACUGAAGACUCUAAUGUUGAAAGGAGACCUGCAGAAUCAGAGGAGGAAGAAGUGGGCAGCGAGCAUGAUUCUGUCAUUACAGUUAGGUCCAAUGACAGACAAAGGACACUGGUAGAUAUUGGGAAAUCUGUCAAGGCUGUUAUAGGUUUAGCUGGAGUAUACCAUAUAGGGGACCAUUAUGAACACGAGACAUCCCGGGGUGUUGAAGAUGUGUCCUGUAUGGCUAGAGUCAUGUAUGGAGAGAGCCAUUUCGACAGAUUUUCACCAACCAGAUUGUGCCAUUCACUCUCCCGAGGAGUCAGAUUACCAAAGAUUGUAUUGCUUCAUGGAACAAAAGACUACGUUGUACCAGAGUCCUCCAGCGUUAAGUUUUGUGAUGUACUGAGAGACCUUUAUGUAGAUGUUGCACUACAUAUCAUACCAGACUGUGAUCACUAUGAAAUAUGUCUAGAUUUGAUGAAAUCUAAUCGUAAAUUUUAUCAACCAGUUAUGGGCAUUAUUUUACAAACAGCAAAAUCUGUUCUUUCAGACAAGUGAUACAUGUAACAACAACCAUUUUUUUUAUAACUUACAAUUUCUGCUGAUUGUUUUUCAAACCAUUAUUUCUAAAAAUACGCUUAGAUUGAAUGGUCUUCUUUCAUGUUAUAUUUCUGAAAGAAGAAUUGUCUCAAUUAAAAUUGUUGUGUAAUUCCAUGUUCUUUGUUCCAAUAAGUUCAUGAUGUACCUGGUACUAGGUAUUUUGCUUUGUUUUGAAAAUUCUAUUUGACCUUCUUUUAUCACGUUGAAAAACAGUGAUUGUAGGGGAGGUACAUUGUACUUUCUAUUAUUAAUAAAAUUGUA
rnacentral:misc_RNA from 1 species